AGCUCCGGCGCCUAAGGAUGGGUCUGCGGCCUAUCAGGUAGUAGUGGGUGUAGCGUACCUACUAGCCUACGACGGGUACGGGUUGUGAGAGCAAGAGCCCGGAGAUGGAUUCUGAGACACGAAUCCAGGCCCUACGGGGUGCAGCAGGCGCGAAAACUUUACAAUGCUGGAAACAGCGAUAAGGGGACCUCGAGUGCCAGGUUACAAAUCUGGCUGUCGUGAUGCCUAAAAAGCAUUGCAUAGCAAGGGCCGGGCAAGACCGGUGCCAGCCGCCGCGGUAACACCGGCGGCUCGAGUGGUAACCGUUAUUAUUGGGUCUAAAGGGUCUGUAGCCGGCCGGAUAAGUCUCUUGGGAAAUCCAGCAGCUCAACUGUUGGGCUUUCAGGAGAUACUGUCUGGCUCGAGGCCGGGAGAGGUGAGAGGUACUUCAGGGGUAGGGGUGAAAUCUUGUAAUCCUUGAAGGACCACCAGUGGCGAAGGCGUCUCACCAGAACGGACCUGACGGCAAGGGACGAAAGCUAGGGGCACGAACCGGAUUAGAUACCCGGGUAGUCCUAGCCGUAAACGAUACUCGCUAGGUGUCGGCCACGGUGCGACCGUUGUCGGUGCCGUAGGGAAGCCGUGAAGCGAGCCACCUGGGAAGUACGGCCGCAAGGCUGAAACUUAAAGGAAUUGGCG
rnacentral:rRNA from 1 species